rnacentral:rRNA from 1 species
CAGCCGCCACGGUAACACGUAGGUGGCAAGCGUUGUCCGGAAUUAUUGGGCGUAAAGGGCUCGCAGGCGGUUUCUUAAGUCUGAUGUGAAAGCCCCCGGCUCAACCGGGGAGGGUCAUUGGAAACUGGGAAACUUGAGUGCAGAAGAGGAGAGCGGAAUUCCACGUGUAGCGGUGAAAUGCGUAGAGAUGUGGAGGAACACCAGUGGCGAAGGCGACUCUCUGGUCUGUAACUGACGCUGAGGAGCGAAAGCGUGGGGAGCGAACAGGAUUAGAUACCCCUGUAGUCCCUGUCUCUUAUAC